rnacentral:rRNA from 1 species
CAGUCGCCGCGGUAAAACGUAGGGUGCAAGCGUUAAUCGGAAUUACUGGGCGUAAAGCGUGCGCAGGCGGUUAUAUAAGACAGAUGUGAAAUCCCCGGGCUCAACCUGGGAACUGCAUUUGUGACUGUAUAGCUAGAGUACGGCAGAGGGGGAUGGAAUUCCGAGUGUAGCAGUGAAAUGCGUAGAUAUGCGGAGGAACACCGAUGGCGAAGGCAAUCCCCUGGGCCUGUACUGACGCUCAUGCACGAAAGCGUGGGGAGCAAACGGGAUUAGAUACCCGCGUAGUCCCUGUCUCUUAUAC